rnacentral:rRNA from 1 species
UUCUGGCUCAGGAUGAACGCUAGCUACAGGCUUAACACAUGCAAGUCGAGGGGCAGCAUGAUCUUAGCUUGCUAAGAUUGAUGGCGACCGGCGCACGGGUGAGUAACGCGUAUCCAACCUUCCCUAUAGUAGGGGAUAGCCCGUAGAAAUGCGGAUUAAUACCCUAUGUUGUAUUUUUGAGGACAUCUGACGAAUACCAAAGGUUCACCGCUAUAGGAUGGGGAUGCGUCUGAUUAGGUUGUUGGCGGGGUAACGGCCCACCAAGCCUACGAUCAGUAGGGGUUCUGAGAGGAAGGUCCCCCACAUUGGAACUGAGACACGGUCCAAACUCCUACGGGAGGCAGCAGUGAGGAAUAUUGGUCAAUGGGCGAGAGCCUGAACCAGCCAAGUAGCGUGCAAGGAUGACGGCCCUAUGGGUUGUAAACUGCUUUUAUGCGGGGAUAAAGUGAGGGACGUGUCCCUUAUUGUAGGUACCGCAUGAAUAAGGACCGGCUAAUUCCGUGCCAGCAGCUGC